rnacentral:rRNA from 1 species
AACGAACGCUGGCGGCAUGCCUAACACAUGCAAGUCGAACGAAGGCUUCGGCCUUAGUGGCGCACGGGUGCGUAACGCGUGGGAAUCUGCCCUUUGGUUCGGAAUAACAGCUGGAAACGGCUGCUAAUACCGGAUGAUGACGAAAGUCCAAAGAUUUAUCGCCAGAGGAUGAGCCCGCGUUGGAUUAGGUAGUUGGUGGGGUAAAGGCCUACCAAGCCGACGAUCCAUAGCUGGUCUGAGAGGAUGAUCAGCCACACUGGGACUGAGACACGGCCCAGACUCCUACGGGAGGCAGCAGUGGGGAAUAUUGGACAAUGGGCGCAAGCCUAAUCCAGCAAUGCCGCGUGAGUGAUGAAGGCCCUAGGGUUGUAAAGCUCUUUUACCCGGGAAGAUAAUGACUGUACCGGGAGAAUAAGCCCCGGCUAACUCCGUG